AUGUUUUUUUCGUCUUCUGCAUAU
rnacentral:sRNA from 1 species